rnacentral:rRNA from 2 species
GCGCUGGAGAACUGAGGGGGGCUGCUCCUAGUACGAGAGGACCGGAGUGGACGCAUCACUGGUGUUCGGGUUGUCAUGCCAAUGGCACUGCCCGGUAGCUAAAUGCGGAAGAGAUAAGUGCUGAAAGCAUCUAAGCACGAAACUUGCCCCGAGAUGAGUUCUCCCUGAGACUUUAGGUCUCCUGAAGGAACGUUGAAGACGACGACGUUGAUAGGCCGGGUGUGUAAGCGCAGCGAUGCGUUGAGCUAACCGGUACUAAUGAACCGUGAGGCUUAACCUUACAACGCCGAAG